rnacentral:rRNA from 1 species
GGGAGCUUACCAUGCAAGCCGAGGGGUAUAUUUCUUUCGGGAGAUAGAGACCGGCGCACGGGUGCGUAACGCGUAUGCAACUUGCCCUACUGAAAAGGAUAGCCCUUCGAAAGGAGGAUUAAUACUUUAUAAUAGAAAUCAUGGCAUCAUGAAUUUUUGAAAGAUUUAUCGCAGUAGGAUAGGCAUGCGUAAGAUUAGUUAGUUGGUGAGGUAACGGCUCACCAAGACGAUGAUCUUUAGGGGGCCUGAGAGGGUGAACCCCCACACUGGUACUGAGACACGGACCAGACUCCUACGGGAGGCAGCAGUGAGGAAUAUUGGACAAUGGGUGGAAGCCUGAUCCAGCCAUCCCGCGUGUAGGAUGACGGCCUUAUGGGUUGUAAACUACUUUUAUCUGGGGAUAAACCUACUUACGUGUAAGUAGCUGAAGGUACCAGAAGAAUAAGCACCGGCUAACUCCGUGCCAGCAGCCGCGGUAAU